rnacentral:rRNA from 1 species
UACGUAGGGACCAAGCGUUGUUCGGAUUUACUGGGCGUAAAGGGCGCGUAGGCGGCGUGUUAAGUCACUUGUGAAAUCUCUAAGCUUAACUUAGAACGGUCAAGUGAUACUGACGUGCUAGAGUGCAGAAGGGGCAACCGGAAUUCUUGGUGUAGCGGUGAAAUGCGUAGAUAUCAAGAGGAACACCUGAGGUGAAAGACGGGUUGCUGGGCUGACACGUGACGCUGGAGGCGCGAAAGCUAGGGUAGCAAACGGG